rnacentral:lncRNA from 1 species
CAUCCGAAGCAGCCUCCAAGCACCUGAAGAGAAAAAAACUCCACAAUGGAGGCUUUAGUUUGAAAUGGUUUCAGGGGGAGGUGAGUGGAUGCACAGUCGUCAGUGCCGGCCUAGCGAUUAGGUUAGAACAAAUUGGUGGUCAAAUAGUCCAAUAAGAGAUCGAAAUCCUGCUGCUGACCAGCUCACCAGGAGGGGACGGCAUCUGCGGGGUUAUCCGCUUCAAAUCAACUUGCUGUGGAGAGAAAAGGACUAAAUUACUGUUCUGUCUGCUAAAUGCAUCUUAGCAUUCCAUGAGGAUGCUGGAGGAAAUCAUACUGCCGACAGGCUAGAUGCGAGUGCUCCAUGUGAUGGCACACAAUAUCAGAGACCGGUGUGUUGUUUCAGAAAGUCUUGCCAGCCAGCUGGCCACCCAUCCAGUUUCAUCUUCAGUUUGGUGCUGCCAACAAUAUCCAGACUCUGAACCCAAGCCAUUCCCAGCCUGGUACCAGAGAUACCAAAGAAGAUACAUCACUGGCAGCUGCAGGUCUGAGGCACCUGCACUGGGACAGCAGCCUCUCUUCUCUCCCCGAGACAGUAUUGAGCUGGCAACCCAGCGGCUCAGCAAGAGGCAGAAGCAGAGCUGGGCUCUUCCUGCAAAGGAAUAGAGAGAGGAACAUUCUUCUCUUCAUCAGGCACAUCUGCUCCAGCACAGCCCCUGAUACACAGGCAAAACUGCUGCCCCCUGGCUACUCAACCAUGACAGAAUUAAAAUUUUUAUUAAGAUGAUGUUUAAAAAAAAAGUGAAUGGUACAGAGUUUAAGCAUAGAAGUUUCUGGUUAUCAGGGAAUAAUGUACAGAUUAUUGAGGAGUAUGAAGUUCGGUUUAAGAUCAGGUGGCAUAAGGAAUACAUAAUCUGCAAUAUCCCCGAUUGGGGAUAAAAGGUUGAUGGGUCAAAGUACAGACGUUACAUUGUGUCUCCUUCUCAACAGGCUCUGAUACAAGAGAAACUUCAUUUUGAAGUCCCCAAAUUCCAUUUUGUAUCCCUGGCUUCCAUUUUGAAUAAGCAAGAGUCACUCCAUCACCAGAUGAAAGCUGCAGGUCAUGUAGUGCUAAGUAUAGAAUUGGUGGGGAAAAGGUGGUAAACAACAAUG